rnacentral:rRNA from 1 species
CACGUAGGGUGCGAGCGUUGUCCGGAAUUAUUGGGCGUAAAGAGCUCGUAGGCGGUGUGUCGCGUCGGCCGUGAAAACCUGCAGCUUAACUGUGGGCUUGCGGUCGAUACGGGCAUCACUGGAGUUCGGCAGGGGAGACUGGAAUUCCUGGUGUAGCGGUGAAAUGCGCAGAUAUCAGGAGGGAACACCGGUGGGCGAAGGCGGGUCUCUGGGCCGA